ACUCCUACGGGAGGCAGCAGUGGGGAAUAUUGCACAAUGGGGGAAACCCUGAUGCAGCCAUGCCGCGUGUGUGAAGAAGGCCAGCUUCGGGGUUGUAAAAGCACUUUCAGUAGGGAGGAAGGUAGUGUAGUUAACACCUGCACUAUUUGACGUUACCUACAGAAGAAGCACCGGCUAACUCCGUGCCAGCAGCCGCGGUAAUACGGAGGGUGCGAGCGUUAAUCGGAAUUACUGGGCGUAAAGCGCAUGCAGGCGGCCUGUUAAGUCAGAUGUGAAAGCCCGGGGCUUAACCUCGGAAUUGCAUUUGAAACUGGCAGGCUAGAGUCUUGUAGAGGGGGGUAGAAUUUCAGGUGUAGCGGUGAAAAUGCGUAGAGAUCUGAAGGAAUACCAGUGGCGAAGGCGGCCCCCUGGACAAAGACUGACGCUCAGAUGCGAAAGCGUGGGGAGCAAACAGGAUUAGAUACCCUGGUAGGAAAG
rnacentral:rRNA from 1 species